GCCGAAGUGAUGGAAUGGUAGACAUGCAGCGUUCAGGGCGCUGUGAGCGCAAGCUCGUGGAGGUUCAAAUCCUCUCUUCGGCA
rnacentral:tRNA from 1 species